UAGGGAAUCUUCGGCAAUGGACGAAAGUCUGACCGAGCAACGCCGCGUGAGUGAAGAAGGUUUUCGGAUCGUAAAACUCUGUUGUUAGAGAAGAACAAGGACGUUAGUAACUGAACGUCCCCUGACGGUAUCUAACCAGAAAGCCACGGCUAACUACGUGCCAGCAGCCGCGGUAAUACGUAGGUGGCAAGCGUUGUCUGGAUUUAUUGGGCGUAACGCGAGCGCAGGCGGUUUCUUAAGUCUGAUGUGAAAGCCCCCGGCUCAACCGGGGAGGGUCAUUGGAAACUGGGAGACUUGAGUGCAGAAGAGGAGAGUGGAAUUCCAUGUGUAGCGGUGAAAUGCGUAGAUAUAUGGAGGAACACCAGUGGCGAAGGCGGCUCUCUGGUCUGUAACUGACGCUGAGGCUCGAAAGCGUGGGGAGCAAACAGG
rnacentral:rRNA from 1 species